rnacentral:tRNA from 1 species
GCCCCGCCUCGGGGGGCGCCGGGCCCGGCUCGCAUCGGUGCGGCCGACGCGCGGACGGUGGACGGGCCGGGUCCGUCGCCGGCGUGGGGCG